rnacentral:rRNA from 1 species
CCCCCCCCCCCUCUCCUAUAAUACUUAGUACGCCCAUGGGCUUAAAAUUUAUUCAAAUAAGGUACAGCCUAUUUGAACUAGGAUACAACCUUUGACAGUAGGUAAUGCCAAACUCACGUGAUCAAGUAGGCCUAAAAGCAGCCAUCUUUUAAAAAGCGUUAAAGCCUUAUCACACCCUAUUACCAAUCCCAAUCGGAACCCAAAACCUCUCACCCUUACUGAAUGACUUCAUACUAAUAUGAAAACCCCUAUGUUAGAACUAGUAACAAGAACACCACUUCUCCUAUAAAUGUAAGUGUAGGCCGAAAUGGAACACCCAUCGGCACUUACCGUUAAUGAAUCUGCAGUAACAACUCACCCAAGAAAACUUUACUACACCUCACGUUAACCUUACACAAGAACUUUUCUGGAAAGAUUAAAAAAAGAGGAAG